GAUGAACGCUGGCGGCGUGCCUAAUACAUGCAAGUCGAACGCUGGAAAUCUAGCUUGCUAGAUUGAAGGAGUGGCGAACGGGUGAGUAAUACAUAAGCAACCUACCCACGAAGACUGGGAUAAUCUCUGGAAACGGGGACUAAUACCGGAUAGGUAAUCGGAAGGCAUCUUCUGAUUAUUAAAGGUUAAAAACACUGGUGGAUGGGCUUAUGGCGCAUUAGUUAGUUGGUGAGGUAACGGCCCACCAAGACGAUGAUGCGUAGCCGGCCUGAGGGGGUGAACGGCCGCAUGGGGACUGGGGCACGGCCCAGACUCCUACGGGAGGCAGCAGUAGGGAAUUUUCGGCAAUGGGGGAAACCCUGACCGAGCAACGCCGCGUGAGUGAUGACGGCCUUCGGGUUGUAAAGCUCUGUUGUAAGGGAAGAACGGUAGAUAGAGAAUAUCUAAAUGACGGUACCUUACCAGAAAGCCACGGCUAACUACGUG
rnacentral:rRNA from 1 species